GCUUGCUUCUCCAGCACAGGGUAAAAUUGAGAGGGUGUCAGAAAGAUGAGCAUGGUUCCUGAACAAGGACGAUAUGAACUUGUGAAGUGUUCCAGGUUUUU
rnacentral:snRNA from 1 species